GCCUGAAGUAUUUACCAUGUGACCUUUACGGAAAAGGCUCCCUGCUCACCGCCUGAACUCUCACCCACCAUCCAACUGGCUGAGGGCAAAGUCGUCUCUGCUCCCAGCGCUCUGUUUCCCACUUUGUGAAGUGGGGUGAACAGCGCUGCCCUCAGAGGAUUCCAAGGGUGACAGUCCAUCACUGGGUGAGAUGGCUGUGCCUUCUCACCCGUCCUUCCUUUGCUCCAAUGCUCCGGGAUGUUUCCCCUUUGGAGGCGCUCGAGAUACCUGGCUGAUAAAGGGCAGAUUCGUGGAGACUUAAUUAUGGCCCCAAGCCCUCUGUGUAAACAAUCGGGCCCGGUGACAACAGAAAUGCAAGCUCUCGUCAAGCGAGGACUGAUAAGGGGACACUCAGAGAUGAGCAGAACCCAGAGGAGGGACUCACCACUUUUCUCAGCUGGGUGGUGAUGAUGGCCAAAGCCAUCUUUGAACAAGAGAAGCUGCUCGUAGGUGCUUUGGAUGACAAGCUGCCUCGAAGCUUCAAAGCCCCGUUCCUGCUGUAGGAAAUGCAGACCCCUUGGUCUGGCUUCUCCCGGCCAGAAGCCCAUCCACCUCCGCCCCCAGCUGGAGACAAGGUGAGGUCCCUGGGUGCGCCGCCUCUGGGCCGGGCUGCCUUCUGUCCUCACCAGCCACUCUGUCUGCGGGCCUGCCCCCUCCAUAGCCCGCUGUCCCUCUCCCAGGCCCGGUUCGUCACCCUCACCUGCCACCGUGGCUGCCUGUUUCCAGCUGGAACCUCCCUGAGGCUGGGAGAGACACCCUGACUCACACUAACUUCAGCACUGAAUCCAAAAGCAAAACGUUGUGGGAAGAACACCGAGCUUCAACUUCGUGUGCGCUCAUCCAAUCCUUUCCCUGCGCUAUAACUAUUCUUUAAAAUGCCAUCCAAGAGGUGCUUAAUGCUGUGCCGCUGUAUUAACCACAGUGCUAGCUAAUGCUGGCCGGGACACCAUGCACUGGGUCUGAAAGCCACUUGUCAUGAGUAGUUACACUGCUAGACUUCUGCCAAGGCCCAGAGAAUCCUGCCCCCAGGGAGCCUGGGACCCCGGGAAGAGUUCCCUGAAGCCAAGGCCAGGGGCAACAGAGUCCAGGAGGUCUGCACUGACAGGGGGUCCUACCCGAGGGGCAGGGGCAGGGGCACACAGGAGCCGUGUCACAGGGAUGCCCACCAGCUGGUGAGAUGCGCUGAGCCCCUGGAGGAGAGCAGGCGUGUGUGUGUGCGUCUUUCCGUCUGUGAGUCUGCCUGAGUGUCUGUGUGGGAGUCUCUGUGCAUCGUGUGUGGACCGGCUUGUAUGUUUCUGUGUGUAGGCCUGAGCGUCCGUGUCUCUGGGUGGGUGUGUUUACACAUCCGUCCACACUACCGCCUAGUGGGGCCAGGUCCAAGCCAGAUACUGGACAGGUGACAGAGGACUUGGUCUCUGCCUCAUUGUUCACAGUCAGGAGGGAGGGGGACAGGAAACAAGGAAUCCCAGCUGGAGGAGCUGGUCUCAGUGAGGACAGGGAGACCCAUGCCAUGAGGGCAGAGCGUGAGGGGCCAGAGCCCCGGAGAUAAGGGACCUGAUGGGGACCUGCGAUGCUCUAAGGAAGCCACACGAAAGCUGAGUGGGCUCGGCUGUGGGCGUGUCAGCUGGUGGAAGGUGGCAGAAAGUUUUCCAGGCAGAGGGAACAGCAUGCACAAAAGCCAGGGUGCUGAGGAGUGGUAAGGGGACUGUGGUGACAGCACAAUGGCAGCUGAAGCGCGGAGGGGUGGGGGCAGGGGGAGGACAGAGUGGGGGCAAGAGCUAGACACACACGUCUGGAGGCCACAGUGACAACGGCCGACUGAUCCUGAGAACCACCAGAGGGCUGGCUUAGGAAACUGGCCGGUCCCGUGGCUGUUUAAUAAUAGGGCCAUUCCACCUGCUAGGAGGAAAGCGGGCAGGGGCGCAAGGGACAAGGCCUGAGCAGCCACCCAGUGAACAGUGACAGCGGCCAGAGCCCCGGGAUGGGCUUGCAGAGGCGACGGGAGGGUGAGGUGUAAGGCUUGGUGACGGGUGAGGUGUGCGAAGGUCCAAGAGGCUCCCCUGUGCGUGCCUGCCUGUGAGUGCGUGUGCACACGUGCACAGGUGUGAGUGUGCACACUCCUGCAGCGGGCUAGAGCCCCAGCCCUUUCCCUCUCCCCUCUCCAACCUCAUGUCCCCACAGCCUUGCAGCGGACAUGACAGUGACGGUAAGAAGGGCUCGGUGUUGCAACUGCAUUUCCUCUCGAACCCGGGGCCGCCAGAGAUUAGCUGAGAACCCCGUGUGUACCGGGCGAUAACACCCCCACUCCCCCGUUUCCUAAUCUCUGAUUCCUUUCCAACUGAUAACAGGAUAAGGGCCCAUGGGCAGCUAAGAAAUGCCCUGGCAGGUCCUGCCAAGCCUGGAGCCGA